rnacentral:rRNA from 1 species
CGCGCAAAUUACCCACUCCCGGCACGGGGAGGUGGUGACGAAAAAUACCGAUGCGGGACUCCUUUACGAGGCUCCGUAAUCGGAAUGAGUGAACUAUAAAUCCUUUGACGAGGAUCAAUUGGAGGGCAAGUCUGGUGCCAGCAGCCGCGGUAACUCCAGCUCCAAUAGCGUAUAUUAAAGUUGCUGCAGUUAAAAAGCUCGUAGUUGGAUCUCGGUAUUACUGUUGCCUGUCAGUCUUGCGUGGCUGGAUUAGUGAUGCAUGGGCGCUGCUCGUGUUGUCCUGGUCUGCUGUUGCGAGCUGAUGAGGUGUCGGUGUUACCUUUUAGCCAUGUCUGUGGUGCAAUACCCGCACGUGUAGGCGAGUGUCACGCGGUGCUUUGCAACAGUAAGGUCCGUCGGCUCGUUUGCAUGCCUUUGGAUGCCCUUUAAAAGGUGUCUGUGGGCGGAUGGCACGUUUACGUUGAACAAAUUUGAGUGCUCAAACCAGCCCGAUGUUGCCUGAAAAGUUUUGCAUGGGAAUAAUGGAAAUAGGACUUUCGGUUCUAUUUCGUUGGGUUUUUCGGAUUC